AGCUCCAAUAGCGUAUAUUAAAGUUGUUGCAGUUAAAAAGCUCGUAGUUGGAUUUGUGGCGUACGGAGUGUUCCCUUCACUUGUUGUUGCGGAUAUGCUUCGUUGCCAUCCUUGGGUGGAAUCUGUGUGGCAUUAGGUUGUCGUGCAGGGGAUGCCCAUCUUUUACUGUGAAAAAAUUAGAGUGUUCAAAGCAGGCUUAUGCCGUUGAAUAGAUUAGCAUGGAAUAAUGAGAUAGGACCUUGGUACUAUUUUGUUGGUUUGCGCACCGAGGUAAUGAUUAAUAGGGACAGUUGGGGGUAUUCGUAUUCCAUUGUCAGAGGUGAAAUUCUUGGAUUUUUGGAAGACGAACUACUGCGAAAGCAUUUACCAAGGAUGUUUUCAUUAAUCAAGAACGAAAGUA
rnacentral:rRNA from 1 species